GUUUUGGGACUUAAAAAAACAUCUAAAACCUGCAUAUGAAGGGAGAACAUGUAAAGUGUAGGUAAGCAGGGCUUUAAUCCAGUCUGUUACUGGGCCAACGCAUACGCAGACAGAGAACCAUUUACACUCAGGCACUAAUAAUGGCGAUUUGAGCUCCAAAGAUAUUUACCAACUAGUAAAAUAAAUAAGUGGUCAAAUAAACUAGAAUAAUCUUAAAUCUCUAGAAUAUCUCUGUCUCCACAUGUCCAUUAAACCCGUCCUAUUCCUUGGUCAGGGUCUCACUGAAAGCCUCCACACCUGUUUUUAAUGAACGCCUAACGAAGCCUUGACAGCACUCACAUUAGAAACAGCACUGAUUGUCUUUGCUGCAGCACAGCUUACCCAAAGGAAAAAGUAAGUUUCAAUCUUAUUUCUAUGGUACACUGAUGUGUUAUAUUUCUAUGAAUGUAUCUGAUGUGUGUUUUAGAAUAUAAAAUACAAGGCAAACAAUGGACCACACACACAAUCUGGAGCCGAUUCAGGAAGAGUCUCAGCUAACUGAUGGUACAGAAACAAGUGACGCAGGAAAAAAAGAAAAUGAGGGAUUUCCAUGUGAUGUAGAGAAACAGGUCACAAUUCAAAAAGAUGUAAACUAUCAGGGAAAUGAUGAUGAUGAUGAAGAUGUCCCCCUGCUGAGGCUUCUGAAACCUACGCGACUGUCAUUCAGCCAAAACACAUUCAAUGAGGUGAAAUCUGCCAACAAUCAUGGAAGUGAAGCAGGGCAUUCAUCCACAUCACAUCUGGAUUUAAGUGCGAGAGCUUUUCCAGAAGCUCAGCCACACUUUGAGAAAAGAUCCAGCACUGCAGAGCUGAGCAUGAUGGAGCAAACAUCACCUCAGAUGUCAAGAAAGAGGACAAAGAAGAGGACACUGACGGAGGAUCUGUUUCCUCAGUGGAUCAGAGAGCUGAUGGUCAACAUUGAAGAGGCAACAACCCAUCAACUGGUAGUGGAGUAAAGCAGCUUCACCAGCUAAAGGCCAAGCAAGGUAAACCUGUUGGCCACACUCAGUGAUGACAUCAUGGGGAACGCUGAAUGUAGAGCAAGCGUCCUAGAGCUGGCACUACUACAAAGUAAAGUCCAGUUGCAAUGUCACUGCUGAGUCAUUAAAAAAACAGGACAGGACAAUUUAUUUUUUUAUUUUUUAUUUUCAAAGUGCUUGAAGAAAACAUGGGUUCACAUUAUGCAUAUAUGUAUUUUCUUGAUUUUGACUAGUGGAAAUCAUCAUAAAAAGUGUUUCCUCCCUGCUGACAAAGCGGC
rnacentral:lncRNA from 1 species